UUCUCAUGACAAGGCAUAACUCAGCACGGCAGCCAAACUCACUGAGACACUGAAAGUCCGCCCCUCUCCUUCCACAUUCAAAUCAUCUCACCACCACCGUCUGUGCAGGGGGAUCGCAGGUCCGACACAGAUCCAGUCUCAUCUGAUUGGAGAAAGGCAGGGGCUUCUGUCACCCAAUUCCCACCCCAAGACAGGACUGGACUGAAGAUGUGGUGACCUGUCAUUAGAUGUAAAUCUGCUCUGCUGUUUAAUUUGGCGGCCAUUGCUGUUCCUACAGUAGAUGAUACUCAUCUUUCCAAGGCUUCUAAAGAACUUGACCCUUGCGUGGGCUGCUAUAUUCACUAGAGCGCAGCACCCCCUGCAUUGUGUAUUCAGACCGAGCGCCAUACAUACAGGUACAAUGCUAGUGUUGACCCUUCAUGAUAAAAGGACACGUUCCAUGCUCUUACUACAAUGUAUGGGCAGGAAGAAAUUCCUGCACAAGGGUUUGUACCAGGCCUGCUGGGAACAUCAGAUGGAGCCCUGCAGUUCAUGGCCUACAAGAAACUGAAAAUGGACUUUACACGCAUUUCCAUCGACCCAGUGACACAAAACCGGAAAGAAGAGUUCCAUGGAGUCUACUAGAGCAAUGUCUUCAUCAUUAUCCCAGUGACCUCCGCCUGCGGAAUCAGCUUAGUAGCUUCAAUUCUACUUUCAUUUUCCUGGAAGAGACCACAGUGCAGAAGUUCUGUAAUAAAAGGAAUAGAAAACCCUAGACAAGCCUGGUUCUGAUAAUCAUUUAUUACAUGGAUGUUGAUUUACACUAAAGGUGUUCUCUGAGCUUUUCUGAAAAUCCAGCAGAUUUCUGACCUGUGUCGGCAAGAUGGGUUCCUCAGUACUUACCUCUCUGUCGCACCGCUGACACCACCGUCUCUGUUACCACCUGGAGUUUUCAAGCAGAUGUUUUCCUGUCUUCCUGCAUACUGCAAAUGGGGCACAGUAUGUGUGGCACUGAUUUAUAUGGGCACUAUUGUAUGUGUGACACUGAUUUAUGGUGGGCAAUGUGUGUGGCAGAGUUAUAUAAUCGGGGGGACCCAGUAUGGUCAGUAUGUGAUGAGCUUGGUUCUGGUGCUGUAUCUAUGUGUUAAACUUCAGUUCACUGUAGUAUUGGAAAGAACAUUAAUUUUUGUAUUUUGGAGGUAAAAAAGACAACAUUCAUAAAGACGGUGCCAGUGUUUUUUGGACCAUCUGUUUGCGGUAUUUAACACGGGUUACGAUGGCACUACGCGUUGGGCCCUUAAAGGAAACCUCUCACCGGGAUUUUGGGUAUAGAGCUCAGGACAUGGGUUGCUAG